GGCGGAGCUGACUGUCAAUCAAAGUUGUCGGAGGCGCGCGCGCGUGUGCUGGUAGGGAGCCGCCGGCAUGGCUGGUGCCUGAGGCUUGCAGUAGCCAAAUGUCACUUGCUUGCUCUGUACCUUACCUUGCAGUGGUCUGUGUGACUAUGGGAGCGAAAGCCGCUUCUUCAUUGACCCCACACUGGAUCUGAUCCCUCUUCUCCGCAGUACUUGCACCUCUAACCUUGGCGAUUUAAACCAAUCUCCCUACCAGCUUUUACCCAGUUUGGGGGAAACCGUCGCAGCCUUGUACCUAGGGCAGAAAGUCUGCUGGAGCCUCGUUCAAGAUCCCCUGGAGAGGGUCCGGAUGGCCGAGCUUUAUAAUGCAAGGAGUAGGGCGCAAGCAUGGAAACGUGAACAUAUCUUUAUCUGAGCUCUGGCAGGGCAGAUACCAUCAUUUUCACCUUCUCGACUAGAACAACAAAGACGCGCGAAUCAAAACAAUAAGGCCUGUAGUCCGGAGAUAUUUACUACCACAUCCAACCUGAACAGCAACUUUCCUUUUUUUCUUACAAAAGAAAAGAGGGAAAAAAUGGAGGUGAGGGAGAAGGACAAAGCCAAGACGUUUACCGGACAAGUUUCUUGAUCAUUGUCUCCUUUCGCUGUUUCACUUCUGGCACCUGCUGAGUCUAGGGUUUUUUCCCACACCGACGCCCCCUGUUUUUCUUCUCCCACAAUCUGGGCUGGGAUCCAGGUCUGUAAAUUUAAUGGGUCCCACAGCCUGGAGGAUUUGUACCGCCAUAAAGGGCCGGGAUCCAGGGAUUUAGCGCCUGAGGGGCCUUAAAAAAAGCAUCUUGUCCCUUCCCUCUAAUUUUGUAAGUGAAGAUAUCAAGGCCUGGGGAGGUUAAAUCACUUACCCAGGUAUUUAAAUCUAAGUCAAGUCCAAAAGCGUUUACUAGGUCUUCUCUGUGUUUGAAGCAUAUGCUGAGUGCUAAAAUCAUCUGCCUUCCUCCGUCUGAUAAUUGCCCAUAUUUAAACCUAUAUCUCUUGAAAUACUAAAGUUCCUCUACCCAACUCAGCCCUCACAGAAGCAUGAAAGAGAAAUGUAAAAGAGAUUAAUCCUAAAAGCAUGGUUUGUUAUUUCUUGAUUAAUUUCGUUCCGAUUUCUUCUUCAGGACUCUCAAUAGAAAGAGCCAAGAAAAAUGAAGAAAAGGGUUAGAUAAGGAGUGAUGUAUUGAUUACCUUCCCCUGGAAAUGUGUGAUACUUGAGAAUAAUAGAACUAUUUUAGAGUAAAGGCUUAUCCAGCGUAUUCUCUUCUUCACCCCUGAAGCUUAUCUUUUGUUGAUUCAUAUUCUCCUUAAGCCUAUUCUGUGUUCACACCAUGUCAGAAUCCUCUUCCCCAGUCAAAAGUAGUGCUGUUUGGGCUAGGGGGUUACAGAGGUCCUCAAAAAUUUUAAAUAGGGGGCCAGUUCACUGUCCCUCAGACUGUUGGAGGGCUGGACUAUAAGUAAAAACAAAAACUUUGUUUUGUGGGUCUUUAAAUAAAGAAACUUCAUAGCCCUGGGUGAGGGAGAUAAUGGUCCUCAACUGCCACAUUUGGCCCGCAGGCCAUAGUUUGAGGACCUGAAUGGAGCUUGGCAAUUCACCGUGCAAAACUGUAGACAAUAGGGCAUAAAUCUUAGACCUUUGCUCAGACGACAGCCAGUCUAACAUUUAAAUAAUCAAGAAAACUGAAGACCAGGAAGGUUAAGCUAUUUCACCAAAGUGACAAAAGACAGAAAUCAUUUAAGCAUUUACUAUAUGCAAGUACUCUGUGUAAGUCCUGGGGACACAAGAAAGAAAAAACAAUACUCUCAAGAAGCAUAUAUUCCAUUAUUAUUCUAUAAGAAACCAGCAGCAGAAUGAUUUGAGAGAGACCUGGAGAGACUUACAUGAAGUGAACAGGAUGAUUUCAGAGAAGCUUGGAAAGACUUAUAUGAACUGAUGCUAAGGGAAAUAAGCAGAACCAGGAGGUCAUGCAACAACAUGAUUGUACAGUGAUCAGUUCUGAUGGACGUGGCUCUCUUCAACAAUGAGAUGAUUCAGGUCAGGCUGUGAGACAGAAAGGCUAGUGGAAGACCUGGUUUUGAGUUUCACUUCUUACACGGACUGACUUUGUGACCCUGGAUCAAGAUGGUGGAUUAAAGACAGCCAAUCAGCUGAACUCUCUCAAAAAUUCCCCUUUAAACAACUUUAAAAUAAUACCUCAAAUUAAAAAAAAAAAAAAAAAAAAACUUUGGAGCAUCAGAGCCAACAAAAAGUCAGGUUUGCGGGGAGGGGGUGGAGGCUUCCCUGGAAUGUGCAUACAUAGUGAGAGCAAUAAGCAGUAGCAGCAACUUUGAGAGCUCUCAGCCCAGAGAUUGUAAGGAGGUUGGAUAACCAGUCAGAGACUAAAGGAGACCUUUUGCUGGCACUGGUUAUAACUGGUCUUGCCUGACACCUCUAUUGCCAUUUAUAGUUCUGAGCUGAAGUUCCAGAAUGGAGCAGAGUGCUUGUGGUGAGUCACAAAGGGCUCACAAGAGGAACAUUUGUGCUUGCAACUGCAAGAGACCAAUGCUUCCCAGCCAAAGACCAGAGCACAGACCAGAAAAAUAGUGACCACACCUUUCCUUGGAUCGUAACACUUUGGAAGCACCAAAAACUUGCAAACUCCCAGCACUAUAGUACAAAAAGUCCUAAGCUAGAGAUAUGGUCUCUCCACUCUGAAGUGAGCAGGAGCCAACUUUAAAAAUAAAGUUCAAAGUCGAAAAUAGACUGGAAAAAAUGAAGAAAGAACCCAAAAAAAAAAAAAAAAAAGACCAUAUAAAGCUACCAUGGUGGCAGGAAUGAUCAAGACACAAACACAAAAGAAGAUAAUAAUGGGAAAACAGCUACAACCAAAGCCUUUAAGAAAAUACUACUUGGAAGUCCAACAAAAAUCCCUGGAAGAGUUAAAGAAAUGAGUGAAAAAAUCAAAAAAUCAAAAGAGAUGAGGAAAAAUUAUAGGGAAGAAAAGUAAUGUAAGAAAAUUAUAAAAAAAAAAUUAACAGCUUGAUAAAAGGGGUACAAAAUAUUUGAAGAAAAUAACACCUGAAUUAUGAAUACAUCCAGCCAUUCUGGAGAGCGAUUUGGAACUAUGCUCAAAAAGGUUAUCAAAUUGUGCCUACCCUUUGAUCCAGCAGUGUUACUACUGGGUUAUAUCCCAAAGAAAUCUUAAAGAAGGGAAAGGGACCUGUAUGUGCAUGAAUGUUUGUGGCAGCCCUCUUUGUAGUGGCCAGAAACUGGAAACUGAGUAGAUGCCCAUCAAUUGGAGAAUGGCUGAAUAAAUUGUGGUAUAUGAAUAUUAUGGAAUAUUAUUGUUCAGUAAGAAAUGACCAGCAGGAGGAUUUCAGAAAGGUCUGGAGAGACUGACAUGAACUGAUGCUGAGUGAAAUGAGCAGGACCAGGAGAUCAUUAUAUACUUCAACAACAAUACUAUAUGAUGAUCAAUUCUGAUGGACGUGGCCAUCUUCAGCAAUGAGAUGAACCAAAUCAGUUCCAAUAGAGCAGUAAUGAACAGAACCAGCCACACCCAGGGAAAGAACGCUGGGAGACAAUUAUGAACACUACAUAGAAUUCCCAAUCCCUCUAUUUUUGUCCACUUGCAUCUUUGAUUUCCUUCACAAGUUAGUUGUAUACUAUUUCAAAGUCCGAUUCUUUUUGUAUAACAAAAUAACUGUAUGGACAUGUAUACAUAUGUUUAUUUAACUUAUAUAUUGACAUAUUUUACAUGUAUUGUUUAACCUGCCAUCUGGGGGAAGGGGUAGGGGAAAGGAGGGGAAAAGUUGGAACAAAAGGUUUUCCAGUUGUCAAUGCUGAAAAAUUACCCAUGCAUAUAUAUCUUGUAAAUAAAAAGCUAUAAUAAAAAAAAGAAGAAGAAAAUAACACCUUAAAAAUAGAAUUGGCCUCAUGUAAAAGAGGCACAAAAAAAAUCACUGAAGAAAAGACUGUGCAUCAAUUGGGGAAUGGUUAUAAAUUAUGGUAUAUACAUGUAAUGGAAUAUUAUAAGAACUACAUAAGAACAGCUAGAAUUCUAUAAUCUAUAGAAUCUAUAAUUCUACGGAAUUCUAUAAGAAAUUAUAAGUAGAUUGGUUUUAGAGAAGCCUAGAAAGAUUUCCAUGAACUAAUGUUGAGUGAAGUGAGCAGAACCAGGAGAACAUUGUACACAGUAAAAGCAAGAUUAUGUAAUGAUCAACAAUGAUAGACUUAGCUUUUCUCAACAAUGUGAUUAUCUAAGAUAAUUCCAAUAGAUUUGGGAUAGAAAAUGCCAUUUGCAUCUAAAGAGAGAACUAUGGAGACUGAAUGUAGAUUGAAGCAUAGAAUUUUCACCCUUUUUUGUUUGUUUGCUUUUUCUUUUUCAUGUUCUGAUUUUUUUUCACAGAAUGACUAAUAUGGAAAUGUUUUAAAUGAUUGUACAUGUAUUAAAAUAAAUAAAUGAUUGGCUCAA